AACGUAGGUGGCAAGCGUUUAUCCGGAUUUACUGGGCGUAAAGGGUGUGCAGGCGGGGCUGUAAGUGGUGUAUGAAAUCUCCAGGCUUAACCUGGAGGGGUUAUGCCAGACUGCAGUUCUAGAGGGCGAGAGAGGGGGGGUGGAAUUCCGGGUGUAGUGGGUGAAAUGCGUAGAGAUCCGGAGGAACCCCAGAAGCGAAGGCGGCCCCCUGGCUCGUACCUGACGCUCAGCCACGAAAGCAUGGGGAGCGAACGGG
rnacentral:rRNA from 1 species